rnacentral:rRNA from 1 species
UACGGGGGGAGCAAGCGUUGUUCGGAUUUACUGGGCGUAAAGGGCGCGUAGGCGGCGCAACAAGUCACUUGUGAAAUCUCCGGGCUUAACCCGGAGCGGUCAAGUGAUACUGUCGUGCUAGAGUGCGGAAGGGGCUACUGGAAUUCUCGGUGUAGCGGUGAAAUGCGUAGAUAUCGAGAGGAACACCUGCGGCGAAGGCGGCAUCCUGGACCGGUAUUGACGCUGAGGCGCGGAAAAGCCCAGGGGAGCAAACGGG